GGUUAAGCGACUAAGCGUACACGGUGGAUGCCCUGGCAGUCAGAGGCGAUGAAGGACGUGCUAAUCUGCGAAAAGCGCCGGCGAGGUGAUAUGAACCUUUGACCCGGCGAUGUCCGAAUGGGGAAACCCAGUGUGUUCCGACACACUAUCGUUAACUGAAUACAUAGGUUAACGAGGCGAACCGGGGGAACUGAAACAUCUAAGUACCCCGAGGAAAAGAAAUCAACCGAGAUUCCCCCAGUAGCGGCGAGCGAACGGGGAGCAGCCCAGAGUCUGAAUCAGCUUGUGUGUUAGUGGAAGCGUCUGGAAAGUCGCACGGUACAGGGUGAAAGUCCCGUACACGAAAGCACACAGGCUGUGAACUCGAAGAGUAGGGCGGGACACGUGGUAUCCUGUCUGAAUAUGGGGGGACCAUCCUCCAAGGCUAAAUACUCCUGACUGACCGAUAGUGAACCAGUACCGUGAGGGAAAGGCGAAAAGAACCCCGGCGAGGGGAGUGAAAAAGAACCUGAAACCGUGUACGUACAAGCAGUGGGAGCCUCUUUUAUGGGGUGACUGCGUACCUUUUGUAUAAUGGGUCAGCGACUUAUAUUCUGUAGCAAGGUUAACCGUAUAGGGGAGCCGAAGGGAAACCGAGUCUUAACUGGGCGUUAAGUUGCAGGGUAUAGACCCGAAACCCGGUGAUCUAGCCAUGGGCAGGUUGAAGGUUGGGUAACACUAACUGGAGGACCGAACCGACUAAUGUUGAAAAAUUAGCGGAUGACUUGUGGCUGGGGGUGAAAGGCCAAUCAAACCGGGAGAUAGCUGGUUCUCCCCGAAAGCUAUUUAGGUAGCGCCUCGUGAAUUCAUCUUCGGGGGUAGAGCACUGUUUCGGCUAGGGGGCCAUCCCGGCUUACCAACCCGAUGCAAACUACGAAUACCGAAGAAUGUUAUCACGGGAGACACACGGCGGGUGCUAACGUCCGUCGUGAAGAGGGAAACAACCCAGACCGCCAGCUAAGGUCCCAAAGUCAUGGUUAAGUGGGAAACGAUGUGGGAAGGCACAGACAGCCAGGAUGUUGGCUUAGAAGCAGCCAUCAUUUAAAGAAAGCGUAAUAGCUCACUGGUCGAGUCGGCCUGCGCGGAAGAUGUAACGGGGCUAAACCAUGCACCGAAGCUGCGGCAGCGACACUAUGUGUUGUUGGGUAGGGGAGCGUUCUGUAAGCCGUUGAAGGUGUCCUGUGAGGGGUGCUGGAGGUAUCAGAAGUGCGAAUGCUGACAUAAGUAACGAUAAAGCGGGUGAAAAGCCCGCUCGCCGGAAGACCAAGGGUUCCUGUCCAACGUUAAUCGGGGCAGGGUGAGUCGACCCCUAAGGCGAGGCCGAAAGGCGUAGUCGAUGGGAAACAGGUUAAUAUUCCUGUACUUGGUGUUACUGCGAAGGGGGGACGGAGAAGGCUAUGUUAGCCGGGCGACGGUUGUCCCGGUUUAAGCAUGUAGGCGGAGGUUCCAGGUAAAUCCGGUUCCUUGUUAACGCUGAGGUGUGAUGACGAGGCACUACGGUGCUGAAGUAACAAAUGCCCUGCUUCCAGGAAAAGCCUCUAAGCAUCAGGUAACAUCAAAUCGUACCCCAAACCGACACAGGUGGUCAGGUAGAGAAUACCAAGGCGCUUGAGAGAACUCGGGUGAAGGAACUAGGCAAAAUGGUGCCGUAACUUCGGGAGAAGGCACGCUGAUAUGUAGGUGAAGUCCCUGCGGAUGGAGCUGAAAUCAGUCGAAGAUACCAGCUGGCUGCAACUGUUUAUUAAAAACACAGCACUGUGCAAACACGAAAGUGGACGUAUACGGUGUGACGCCUGCCCGGUGCCGGAAGGUUAAUUGAUGGGGUUAGCGGUAACGCGAAGCUCUUGAUCGAAGCCCCGGUAAACGGCGGCCGUAACUAUAACGGUCCUAAGGUAGCGAAAUUCCUUGUCGGGUAAGUUCCGACCUGCACGAAUGGCGUAAUGAUGGCCAGGCUGUCUCCACCCGAGACUCAGUGAAAUUGAACUCGCUGUGAAGAUGCAGUGUACCCGCGGCAAGACGGAAAGACCCCGUGAACCUUUACUAUAGCUUGACACUGAACACUGGUCCUUGAUGUGUAGGAUAGGUGGGAGGCUUUGAAGCGUGGACGCCAGUCUGCGUGGAGCCAACCUUGAAAUACCACCCUUUAAUGGCUGGUGUUCUAACGUAGACCCGUAAUCCGGGUUGCGGACAGUGUCUGGUGGGUAGUUUGACUGGGGCGGUCUCCUCCCAAAGAGUAACGGAGGAGCACGAAGGUUAGCUAAUCCUGGUCGGACAUCAGGAGGUUAGUGCAAUGGCAUAAGCUAGCUUGACUGCGAGAGUGACGGCUCGAGCAGGUGCGAAAGCAGGUCAUAGUGAUCCGGUGGUUCUGAAUGGAAGGGCCAUCGCUCAACGGAUAAAAGGUACUCCGGGGAUAACAGGCUGAUACCGCCCAAGAGUUCAUAUCGACGGCGGUGUUUGGCACCUCGAUGUCGGCUCAUCACAUCCUGGGGCUGAAGUAGGUCCCAAGGGUAUGGCUGUUCGCCAUUUAAAGUGGUACGCGAGCUGGGUUUAGAACGUCGUGAGACAGUUCGGUCCCUAUCUGCCGUGGGCGCUGGAGAAUUGAGGGGGGCUGCUCCUAGUACGAGAGGACCGGAGUGGACGCAUCACUGGUGUUCGGGUUGUCAUGCCAAUGGCACUGCCCGGUAGCUAAAUGCGGAAGAGAUAAGUGCUGAAAGCAUCUAAGCACGAAACUUGCCCCGAGAUGAGUUCUCCCUGAGACUUUAAGUCUCCUGAAGGAACGUUGAAGACUACGACGUUGAUAGGUCGGGUGUGUAAGCGCAGCGAUGCGUUGAGCUAACCGAUACUAAUGAACCGUGAGGCUUAACCUU
rnacentral:rRNA from 1 species